UACAGAGGUCCCAAGCGUUGUUCGGAUUCAUUGGGCGUAAAGGGUGCGUAGGUGGCGCCGUAAGUGGGGUGUGAAAUUUCGGAGCUUAACUCCGAAACUGCAUUCCAUACUGCGGUGCUUGAGGACUGGAGAGGAGACUGGAAUUUACGGUGUAGCAGUGAAAUGCGUAGAGAUCGUAAGGAAGACCAGUGGCGAAGGCGGGUCUCGUGGACAGUUCCUGACACUGAGGCACGAAGGCCAGGGGAGCAAACGGG
rnacentral:rRNA from 1 species